rnacentral:rRNA from 1 species
GUUGCAUUAACAAAAAGUUAGUGUAAGAUCGACUCUGUCGAAUAAAAUUCUAGAUAGAAUUAUGAUAAUGACAUUAUCUAUCUAUGUGUCUUGACCAAAUUACGUGCCAGCAGUCGCGGUAAUACGUAAAAGACUAGUGUUAUUCAUCUUUAAUAGGUUUAAAGGGUACUUAGACGGUAAAUAAAGCCCGAAUAGGGAACUAAUAUACUAGAGUUUGAUGUAAGGAAGCAUGAAAGUACUGUUGGUGUAGAGAUAAAAUUCUAUCAUACCAAAUAUGGCACAGGUUUAGGCGAAAGCAUCUUCUUAUGUAAUAACUGACGUUGAAGGACGAAGGCUUUGUGUCUCGAACAGGAUUAGAUACCCCAGUAGUCUAAGCAGACAAUGAUGAAUGUCAUAGAUUAGAUUUAAUUAAAUUUAUUCUAUAAAUGAAAGUGUAAGCAUUCCACCUCAAGAGUAAUUUGGCAACAUUGGAACUGAAAUCAUUAGACCGUUUCUGAAACCAGUAGUGAAGUAUGUUGUUUAAUUAGAAGAUACGCAAAAAACCUUACCACAAUUUGAAUUAGUAAUAUGUUUUCACAAGCGUUGCACGGCUGUCUACAGUUAAUGUCGUGAGAUUUUGGUUAGUUCCAUUAAAUUAACGCAAACCCUUACUUUAUUU